rnacentral:rRNA from 1 species
ACAGAGGGUGCAAGCGUUAAUCGGAUUUACUGGGCGUAAAGCGCGCGUAGGCGGCUAAUUAAGUCAAAUGUGAAAUCCCCGAGCUUAACUUGGGAAUUGCAUUCGAUACUGGUUAGCUAGAGUGUGGGAGAGGAUGGUAGAAUUCCAGGUGUAGCGGUGAAAUGCGUAGAGAUCUGGAGGAACACCGGUGGCGAAGGCGGCAUUCUGGACUGUAACUGACACUGAGGAACGAAAGCCAGGGGAGCAAACGGGA